GAUAAACUGGUUGUUGAAACUCCCUGGGCCACUGAGUUUUCUUAUUUCUUUUUUUUUUUUUUUUAGUAGAGAGCUGACUUUAGAGGGAUCAAGAAUAGCUUGCUGGAUGGAAGGAGCUCUCCCUCCCAUACUCCAAUUGAAGAGACCACAUGUUGACAUGGUGGAACCACCUGAUAGAAGCACCUGAAUCACCACUGGAAGAAUAGCUGUUCUGGAGAGCCCUUCAAAACCUAAAUUGGACUCUGCAUAAGCAAGAAAUCAAUUUUCAAAUCUUGGGGCCAGUCAUCAUCUUAAAGGCUCUGUGGCAGCUUGGACUUGAAGUAGGGUGCACCCGGAAUUGACCAAUACAAACAGUGGACUGCACUGGAUUCUUCUUGUGCCCUGUCUCAUAUCCUCUUGUCCCACCUUUUCAUAACAGCCAUUGCCAUGGGAACCAGCUGCAUCCAGGUACGACCUGACAGCACCCUGCUUCACUGUCAUGGUGCUCCUGCAGCAUUCUGGUUAGCCAUCAUGUUGCACACACAGACCUGGAAGGGUCAGGGAGUUGCCCAUGGCAACUCUUGGCCACCAAGGGAAAGGACUAGCUCGAUAGCACACUCUUGCCUUGCGUUUCCCUAUUUUUCUUCUCUUAGUUGUUCAUACCUUGUUUCACAUCCCCAUAUAAGCCAUCUGUACCCAAGUCCUUGUUUCAUCUUCCAUUUCAGGAAAUACCAGGUUAAUACAGAAACGCAAACUACAACAAAUAAACAUUCACAUUUUAAAGUCAGGCAACAAAACUUUAUGCCUUUCAGAGCAUAAUGCUUUCUGACUUCAAAAUAUAAGACUUCAUGCUUGGCCCUUCUUUAUUAAGAACUUACUUAAAUCAGCAUAUCUUUGCAUGGGACUUCAAAUCCUUUCAUUUAAGGCAAGUUUUACAGCCAAUAUUAACGUUGGUGUACCAGUACCCUGUUCUUAAACUGGCUAAAGCAGCCUCAAAAUUCCCAAAGGGAAUAAUGAAAAUUCCUAACAUCCUUGGCAGGAAAACAGUUGGAAGUUUAAAUCAAGCUAAUUGUUUUGGCUAAUAUGUUUUUAAU
rnacentral:lncRNA from 1 species